UAGAAUUAUUUAUUGGUUGUAGCUGGUCUUCGCAAGAUGACAAUGUGCACACCUUUAUUCAUCAAUCACACCCUGUGCACCUUUUGUAGACUUUGUUGUCUAUGUUUUUCAUAUACAAACAUUAAAGUAACAAACGUAGUCUUAUUAUAAUCUAAUA
rnacentral:misc_RNA from 1 species